ACUUUGUCUUCCAUGCUUAAAGGCAUUGGGAAGAGAAAGUUACCUGACCAGCUCUGAAGAUUUACUGAACUACCUGACAUAGCCAAAACCAGGGCACAAAGUCCAUGGAGAAGAGACAACAUCCAGACAGAAACAUUUUAGCAGUAGGAUAUAAAUUGCUUGUCUUGGGCCAGCACCGGCCUAGAAGAAUAUCACGUGCUCACGAUGGGCCACAUACAUCAGUGAGAAUUGCCUUUAAUGAAGCCACAUUUUACAAAGGGAAAAACACUUUAGAGCUGGGCUUCUGAGAAGAAAUUUUAGUGUUACAUUGAAAUAAACUGGGAUUCAUCAUAUUCUUCAGUCACAAGAAUGUUCUGUGCGAUAUUUUCAAGAGACUGGCAUGGCUGAUCCAGCCAAGACAAUGAUCCCUGACACCCACCACGUGAGCUCUGAGGUCCUGAGAUCUAGAAGCUGACAUCCACACCUUCAAAGAGGUCAGCCAGCAUCUGAUUGGAGGGAAGAGCUGAUGGCUGCUCCUGUGGGCAGACUGAGACCGUGGUCAUCAACGUCAGAGGUAGAUUCUGGUAAUGGUUCCAUUUUGCAAGUGAAGAAACUGAGGCUCCAGGAGGAAAGAUAUUGCUCAACUUAUUCAGGAGAUGACAGCCAGAUGAGGCUCGCUCCGGUUCGGACGUGCCCUACGGCGGCUCGCGGCGCCCCAGGCCCCAGCUCUCUGCACUUGACGCUCCC